CAAGACCUGCACUUUUGGAGCGGCCGAUGUCUGAUUAGCUAGUUGGUGGGGUAAUGGCCUACCAAAGCUUCGAUCAGUAGCUGGUCUGAGAGGACGGCCAGCCACACUGGGACUGAGACACGGCCCAGACUCCUACGGGAGGCAGCAGUGGGGAAUUUUGGACAAUGGGCGCAAGCCUGAUCCAGCCAUGCCGCGUGAGUGAAGAAGGCCUUCGGGUUGUAAAGCUCUUUCAGCCGGGAAGAAAAGGUUGCGACUAAUAAUCGCAAUCCAUGACGGUACCGAAAGAAGAAGCACCGGCUAACUACGUGCCAGCAGCCGCGGUAAUACGUAGGGUGCGAGCGUUAAUCGGAAUUACUGGGCGUAAAGGGUGCGCAGGCGGUUUUGUAAGUCAGAUGUGAAAUCCCCGGGCUUAACCUGGGAACU
rnacentral:rRNA from 1 species